GCCAGCGUGGUGUAAUGGUUUGCGUAUUGGACUAUGAUUCUAGAGAUCCGGGCUCAAAUCCUUGCUUGGUCA